CUGAGUUAUCAAAACUCCCACCCUAUGUGAACUUACCGCCGUUGCCUCGGCGGGCCGCGCUUACCCUUAGCUACUACCCGGUAGCUAUCCGGUAAGUGCGCUACCGGCCCGCCGGUGGACUGCUAAACUCUGUUAUAUAUACGUAUCUCUGAAUGCUUCAAACUUAAUAAGUUA
rnacentral:misc_RNA from 1 species